rnacentral:tRNA from 1 species
GGUGAGGUGGCCGAGUGGUCGAAGGCGCACGCUUGGAAAGCGUGUGUACGAGCAAUCGUACCGAGGGUUCGAAUCCCUUCCUCACCG